rnacentral:rRNA from 1 species
UACGGAGGGGGCUAGCGUUGUUCGGAAUUACUGGGCGUAAAGCGCACGUAGGCGGCUUUGCAAGUGACGGGUGAAAUCCCUCGGCUUAACCGAGGAACUGCCUGUCAAACUGCAUGGCUUGAGACCGGGAGAGGUGAGUGGAAUUCCCAGUGUAGCGGUGAAAUGCGUAGAUAUUGGGAGGAACACCAGUGGCGAAGGCGGCUCACUGGCCCGAUACUGACGCUGAGGCGCGAAAGCGUGGGGAGCAAACAGG